rnacentral:lncRNA from 1 species
GCUAUUGUCCUUAAUUUCUAUGUGAACUUAGACAAGUCACUCAGUCUGUCUGGGUCUCAAUUUCUUUCUCUGUAAAAGAAGAUGGUGGUUGGUAACAUGACCUCUAAGGCUUUAAAUAUGUAAUUCUAUGAUUUCAAUAUUUUAUUUCUGUUCCUAUUUUAUAUCAAAAGAAUUUUGAUCACUUUUAAAAGUCAUAAUGUCACUUGAUGGAACUGGGAAUUUGUGUUUUUCUGCAAUAUUUUGAGGUCACUUAAGAUAUAUUACAAAGAACAAAAACAUAGCCCGCCUGCUUGGAUGCAAAUCCCAAAAGGUGGAUUUUUGCCCCAGCUUGGGGUUUACUAAACGGUGCUUUGUUGGACUAGUAGGGUGAGAGAUAGAGAACUAGACAUAUUACAGGAAAAUAUACAGCGUCUGUUCCCUGAAAUCCCAUUUUGGGAACCAUAAUGCACAUUUCGACGACCAUAAAUGUUUUGUUGAGCAUCCUUGCACAAUCUGUCCUGAUGCCAUUAUUCCAUCCUAUAAAGGCUGGGAAACAGUCCUGUAAAUUAGCAUGGAUCCAGAGAUGAAAGCAAAAAUCACUUAGCCUUCAGUAAGUUAGGCUUGAGGUUUAAAAGCAUUGAGAGCAAUGCCUCUGCUUUCGAGAGCCUUAGUGUCUUGAGCCUAGAGGUCCCGGGGCCCAGGCUCUAAUGCAAGCUUCUGACCUCAAGGAUUUUGAAUAUGCUCUGCUUGCAAAGGAACAUUACAGGAUGUUCAGAGCUCGAGCUAGCCCCUUCUUCCUGUCCAGGAAACCCAGACCACUGAGAAAUGUUUCCAGCUAAUGGCUGUGGAGGUCCGAAUCUGGAGGAGAAAGCCUGGGGACCAAAGGGCAAACAAGAUGAUAAUGGAAGCCCUCCGCAGUGUGCUGAAAAGGGGACAGAUAGAGGGAUAGAGAAAGGGGCAGAGAAAAAGGAAGAGAGAGGAGGAGGAAAAGAGUGAGUAAAGACCAGGCAGAUGCCACCUUUUCUCAAUAGGACUUAAACAGAAAUCAAUUCCGUGAAAUAUCCCUAGUAUUAUGGAUGGAGAAACUGCUGCCCCACUGAAUUUUCAGCCUUGUUUUUUUUUUCCCUUUCAUCUGUAGAUAUAGUUGGCUCUAUGUUCAGAAUGGGUAGUGAUGGAGGAACAUUACUUCAAAUACUGAACCAAAGAAAUGCAGGAAGUCUAAGGGUGCUCGUUUUUAAGAAGCAAAUAAUUGGACUGUGGACAUGCUUCUGCCUCUUCUGACAUUGGUUCAGCAGUGAACUCAUAAGACGAAUAACUCUCAAAUGGCUAAUAAAGCAGAAACCUCUUCAGUGGAUAUUUGUAAU